GUUGGCGUGUAUUGGCAUGUUGGAUCCCUGCUUGGGCAGCGACGACAUUCCAUGCAAGCCUCUUCAUUCCUCGGCUCAAGUGCUUGUUUGCCUUGGCCGCCGUCCCUUUUUCUUGUGCUGAAUACCCACAACGGGGGCACAAGGUUGGCUAMAACGUCCCACUUCCGCCUUGUGCUGCGCCCCUCGGGGCCGUGGUGCGGGGUGGACCUCAAAGCAUUCGCCGUGCGCCACGUCCCGCGCAAGUGCCUCCGCACGUGCUCGGGUUGUUGGCUCAUGGAGUCUUGCUCGAUCUCUCGGAUGCGGAACAGUGAGUGGGUACGAGGCCCCCGGCCUCUAUUUGCCCCGAAAACAAGCGUUCGGCGCUUCGUGCGAACGACUGUCGUUUUCGUUUUGACCGGGUCCUCGUGGCUCGGCUCAUGCGAAACCGCCGUCGAUGAGGAAUGCUAC
rnacentral:misc_RNA from 1 species